UUUUAGAUUUUUAAAAAUGAUUUAAAUUUUAUUAGUUUUAGUAUUAAUUAUGAAAUAAUUUUAAGAUUUAUAGUUUAUUAGUACCGUAAGAAAAUUAAAUUAAAUUUUAAAAAGAAUAUAAAUUUUUAGUACCUUUUGUAUCAGGGUUAAUUAAAAUUUUUAAUUUAUUUUUAAUUUCUCAAAAUUUAUAGAGUUAAUUUUAUUAUUAAGUUAUUGUUUUAAAAAUAUUUAUAAAAUAAUUUUAGUUUAGAAAUUUAAUUCGUUAUAUUAUAUUUAGUUAUUUAAGAUUUAAAUUUAAUUUAAAAUUUUAAAAGUUUUAUUAAUUUUUUUUUAAUUAAAUUUUAAAUUUAAAUUAUUUUAGGGAUAAGCUUAAAAUUUUUAUAAAAUAAAUUUUAUUAAAUUGAAUAAGUCUUAGGAUUAGAAAUUUUUAUUUUAAGUUUGUAAAAAUUUAUUAUUUAUUUAAAUUUAAAUUUAUUAUAUAGAGAAUUUAUUUAUUUUUUUUAUUAAAUUUUAUAAAAUAAUUAUUUAUUUAUAGUAAUAAUGAUUAAAUUAGUAUAAUAGUUAUUUAUAAAUUAUGAAUUCGGCAAAUUUUAUUUUCAUCUGUUUAACAAAAACAUUGUAUUAAGUUUAAUUUAAUAUAGGAUCUGCUCAAUGAUUUAAUUAAAUAGCUGCAGUAUUUUAACUGUGCAAAGGUAGCAUAAUAAUUAGUCUUUUAAUUGGGGACUUGAAUGAAAGAUUUGAUGAGAAAUAAGCUUUAUUAUUUAUAUUAUUAAAAUUUUAUUUUUAAGUAAAAAAGCUUAAAUUUUUUUAAGGGACGAUAAGACCCUAUAAAACUUUAUAAAUUUAUUGUUUAAAAUUUUUGGUUUAAUAAAUAUUUAAAAUUUUUAAAUUUAUUUUAUUGGGGUGAUAAAAAAAAAUAUUUAACUUUUUUUAAAAUUUAACAUUAAUUAAUGAUUUUUUGAAUUAAAAUUUUUAAUUAAAGGAUAAAGUUACUUUAGGGAUAACAGCGUAAUUAAUUUUUUAAGUUCAAAUUUGAAAAUUAGUUUGCGACCUCGAUGUUGAAUUAAGGUUAAUCUUAGGUGCAAAAUUUUAAGUGUUAGGUCUGUUCGACCUUUAAAUUCUUACGUGAUUUGAGUU
rnacentral:rRNA from 1 species